GGCGCACGGGUGCGUAACACGUGGGUAAUCUGCCUGGAAGUCCGGAACAACCUUCCGAAAGGUUGGCUAAUGCCGGAUAAGCUCACAGGGUCCUCGGACCUCGUGAGAAAAGAUGGCCUCUGUUUACAUGCUAUCUCUUCCAGAUGAGCCCGCGGCCCAUCAGCUAGUUGGCGGGGUAAUGGCCCACCAAGGCAACGACGGGUAGCUGGUCUGAGAGGACGAUCAGCCACACUGGAACUGAGACACGGUCCAGACUCCUACGGGAGGCAGCAGUGGGGAAUUUUGCGCAAUGGGCGAAAGCCUGACGCAGCAACGCCGCGUGUGUGAUGAAGGUUUUCGGAUCGUAAAGCACUUUCGACCGGGAAGAAAAUGCAUUGGCUAACAUCCAAUGAACUGACGGUACCGGGAGAAGAAGCACCGGCUAACUCUGUGCCAGCAGCCGC
rnacentral:rRNA from 1 species